ACAUGAGGCUUAACAAAAUGGGCCAUCUUGAUAGAAAUAUUGAGAAUAGUACUCAGCUAUAUCGGUGAACUCCUGAGAUGUCGCGAAGGACAAUACCGAGGGAACCUCGAUUUAAUCGGGGACACCGUAGAGACUACACGCUGAGCUCCGAUGUAACAUCGGAGAAGAUAUAGUCCGACACUCCAAGUAAUUGGAGA
rnacentral:ncRNA from 1 species